GAAGCGAGUGGAAGCCCUUCGGGGUGGAAGCUCGUGGAACGAGCGGCGGACGGGUGGGUAACACGUGGGCAACCUACCUGUAAGACCGGAAUAACCCCGGGAAACCGGGGCUAAUGCCGGGUAACCGUUCGGUUCACCUGAACCGGACGUAAAAGGAUGGCUUCUUGCUAUCGCUUACAGAUGGGCCCGCGGCGCAUUAGCUAGUUGGUAAGGUAACGGCUUACCAAGGCGACGAUGCGUAGCCGACCUGAGAGGGUGAUCGGCCACACUGGGACUGAGACACGGCCCAGACUCCUACGGGAGGCAGCAGUAGGGAAUCUUCCGCAAUGGACGAAAGUCUGACGGAGCAACGCCGCGUGAAUGAGGAAGGCCUUCGGGUCGUAAAACUCUGUUGUGAGGGAAGAACAAGGACCGCGCGAACAGAACGGUCCCUUGACGGUACCUCACGAGGAAGCCCCGGCUAACUACGUGCCAGCAGCCGCAGUAAUACGUAGGGGGCAAGCGUUGUCCGGAAUUAUUGGGCGUAAAGGGCACGCAGGCGGUUCCUUAAGUCUGAUGUGAAAGCCCGUGGCUCAACCACGGAUGGCCAUUGGAAACUGGGGAACUUGAGAACUGAAGAGGAGAGUGGAAUUCCACGUGUAGCGGUGAAAUGCGUAGAUAUGUGGAGGAACACCAGUGGCGAAGGCGACUCUCUGGUCGGUUUCUGACGCUGAGGUGCGAAAGCGUGGGUAGCAAACA
rnacentral:rRNA from 1 species